CGCGGGGUAGAGCAGUUGGUAGCUCGUCGGGCUCAUAACCCGGAGGUCGUUGGUUCGAGUCCAGCCCCCGCUACUA
rnacentral:tRNA from 1 species